UGCAGCAGCAGCGGGAGCCUCAGGCAGACUUCCUCUGAAAAUUUGGCCCCAAAAAAGAGGAUCAGUCCCAGCAGUGGCUUCUCCUCACCUGAACCCCAGGUGCUUUGCAUCCCAAAGAUGCCUAUCAGUGAUAAACAACACACAAAUGUGAGUGAGCAGAGUUUGGAGAGGCUGGAGCAGAGUUUGGAAACACUGGUGCAGAGCCUGGUGCUGCACAGACAGGUUGGCGCAGAACAUCCCAACUCUUCUCAUUGGAACUAGGUCACUGUUCUCCUUCCAGAAACAGAAACAUCUCCAAAGAGCCUAGGCCCAGCAAACACUACAGUCCCCACAGGCACAUGUGGGGAGUGAAGGAGUUUUGCAUCUCCAGGCAGGAGCAGAGGGAUCAGUUUUACUUUUUGAAGCACAGACCAGCUCUGAACAAAGAGAUUCUGAUCUGCUCCAAUCUUAUGGCUUCCAAAGGGGUCAUGUUAGAAAUCUGGAACCUCCUGAAUCCCACGUUUUUUCUAAAGAAGUAUUUUUUCCCAAGAUAA